AAAAGAGAGAGAAAUUCAGAGCGAUGAGGAAGUGGAUAUUACAUGAUUCUCAGUUAAUACAGGCAAGAACUGAGUUUAAUCAUGUUACAAGCCAUUGUUCCAACUCUGCAUAGAGAAGGAUCCUAGCAAGUGAAGUGGACUCUCAAGUUCAGCCCAUUUGAGCUAACUGUGUUCAGUGUUGAUGUAUUUCUCCCCCAGUGUGUGGUGGUCAUUAUAUAUCCUGGAAUGGAACUCUGAGCUCUCCUUAUUACCCGAGUUACUACCCUCCAAAUAUUGACUGCAGCUGGAUCAUCCGAGCACCAUUGCCAGCCUACAAGCUCUCCUUAAAAAUCCUUGUAAUACAAAUUCAAGAGAAAUCGCCAGGGUCCAGUAAAUGUGAUAAAGAUUGGCUAGAAAUCGAAGGAGUUAGGUGAGUAAAUACACUAUUUACUGACAUACUAAUGUGUACUUUGAUGUUCUAUGCAACAUGAGACACCUUAAGGAAAAACAUCAGUGUAGAAAGAUACAUUUCAAAAAAUAAAGGCAUACUUUCAUUGAAUUACA
rnacentral:lncRNA from 1 species